rnacentral:snRNA from 1 species
UUACAUACCUGGACGGGGUCAAUGGGCGAUCAGGAAGGCCCAUGGCCUAGGUGGGUGGCUUCCAUUGCACUUUGGAGGUGCACUUGCCUAACAUCUCCCCCUAGUGGGAGACUGUACGUCGUAAUUUGUGGUUGUGGGGGCUGUGUUCGCGCGGCCCCUG